UAGCGGAGGAAAAGAAACCAACUGGGAUUACCUUAGUAACGGCGAGUGAAGCGGUAAAAGCUCAAAUUUGAAAUCUGGUACUUUCAGUGCCCGAGUUGUAAUUUGUAGAAUUUGUCUUUGAUUAGGUCCUUGUCUAUGUUCCUUGGAACAGGACGUCAUAGAGGGUGAGAAUCCCGUUUGGCGAGGAUACCUUUUCUCUGUAAGACUUUUUCGAAGAGUCGAGUUGUUUGGGAAUGCAGCUCAAAGUGGGUGGUAAAUUCCAUCUAAAGCUAAAUAUUGGCGAGAGACCGAUAGCGAACAAGUACAGUGAUGGAAAGAUGAAAAGAACUUUGAAAAGAGAGUGAAAAAGUACGUGAAAUUGUUGAAAGGGAAGGGCAUUUGAUCAGACAUGGUGUUUUUUGCAUGCACUCGCCUCUCGUGGGCUUGGGCCUCUCAAAAAUUUCACUGGGCCAACAUCAAUUCUGGCAGUAGGAUAAAUCAUUAAGAAUGUAGCUACCUCGGUAGUGUUAUAGCUUAUUGGAAUACUGCUAGCUGGGAUUGAGGACUGCGCUUCGGCAAGGAUGUUGGCAUAAUGGUUAAAUGCCGCCCGUCUUGACA
rnacentral:rRNA from 1 species